GACGCACGCUGGCGGCGUGCCUAAUACAUGCAAGUAGGACGCAGUUGCGAACGGGUGAGUAACGCGUAGGUAACUACCUAUUAGAGGGGGAUAACUAUUGGAAACGAUAGCUAAUACCGCCUACUAGUAGAUGGACCUGCGUUGUAUUAGCUAGUAUGUAGGGUAAUGGCCUACCUAGGCAACGAUACAUAGCCGACCUUAUAGGGGGGUCCGCCACCAGGGGACUGAGACACGGGCCAAGCGCCUUCGGGAGGCAGCAGUAGGGAAGCUUCGGCCAUGGGGGGAACCCUUACCGAGCAACGCCGCGUGAGUGAAGAAGGUUUUCGGAUCGUAAAGCUCUGUUGUUAAGGAAGCGGUACUUAACCAGAAAGGGACGGCUAACUACGUGCCAGCAGCCGCGGUAAUUC
rnacentral:rRNA from 1 species